AUACGUAGGGGGCAAGCGUUAUCCGGAUUUACUGGGUGUAAAGGGAGCGUAGACGGUGAUGUAAGUCAGAUGUGAAAGCCCAGGGCUCAACCCUGGGACUGCAUUUGAAACUAUGUUGCUAGAGUGCAGGAGAGGUAAGUGGAAUUCCUAGUGUAGCGGUGAAAUGCGUAGAUAUUAGGAGGAACACCAGUGGCGAAGGCGGCUUACUGGACUGUAACUGACGUUGAGGCUCGAAAGCGUGGGGAGC
rnacentral:rRNA from 1 species